rnacentral:rRNA from 1 species
GUUCUCCAAUCAAGUAGGACUACCCGCUGAACUUAAGCAUAUCAAUAAGCGGAGGAAAAGAAACUAACAAGGAUUCCCCUAGUAACGGCGAGUGAAGUGGGAAAAGCUCAACUUUGUAAUCUGGCUCUUUCAGAGUCCGAGUUGUAGUCUAGAGAAGCAUUAUCCGCGUCGGACCUUAAACAAGGCUGUUGGAAUGCAGCGUCGUAGAGGGUGAGAAUCCCGUACAUGUUAAGGAAAACCGUAUGCAUUGUGAUACGCUUUCUAAGAGUCGAGUUGUUUGGGAAUGCAGCUCAAAUCGGGUGGUAAAUUCCAUCUAAAGCUAAAUAUUGGCGAGAGACCGAUAGCGAACAAGUACCGUGAGGGAAAGAUGAAAAGCACUUUGGAAAGAGAAUGAAAUAGUAUGUGAAAUUGCUGG